rnacentral:rRNA from 1 species
UACGUAGGGUGCAAGCGUUGUCCGGAAUUAUUGGGCGUAAAGAGCUCGUAGGCGGUCUGUCGCGUCUGCUGUGAAAUCUCAGGGCUUAACCCUGAGCUUGCAGUGGGUACGGGCAGACUAGAGUGCGGUAGGGGAGACUGGAAUCCUGGUGUAGCGGUGAAAUGCGCAGAUAGUCAGGAGGAACACCGGUGGGCGAAGGCGGGUCU